CCUACGGGAGGCAGCAGUGGGGAAUAUUGCACAAUGGGGGAAACCCUGAUGCAGCGACGCCGCGUGAGUGAAGAAGUAUUUCGGUACGUAAAGCUCUAUCAGCAGGGAAGAAAAAAAGUCCUUUGGACUUGGGACGGUACCUGACCAAGAAGCCCCGGCUAACUACGUGCCAGCAGCCGCGGUAAUAAGUAGGGGGCAAGCGUUAUCCGGAUUUACGGGGCGUAAAGGGAGCGUAGACGGCAGCGCAAGUCUGGAGUGAAAUGCCGGGGCCCAACCCCGGCACUGCGUUGGAAACUGUGCAGCUGGAGUGCAGGAGAGGUAAGCGGAAUUCCUAGUGUAGCGGUGAAAUGCGUAGAUAUUAGGAGGAACACCAGUGGCGAAGGCGGCUUACUGGACUGUAACUGACGUUGAGGCUCGAAAGCGUGGGGAGCAAACAGGAUUAGAUACCCCAGUAGUC
rnacentral:rRNA from 1 species